GUCACCGGUGCGCUCCGGGCGCCUGCGGGCUGCGGCCCGGGGCUGGGGUGGGCGACCUGGACUCGCCCUGUCCCCAAAGCCCCUAGAGGCAGAAAUUGAGGAGCCCCGGGGUGCAGCCUGCCAUUACAGCACACAGACGCCUGAGGGAUCACUUGAGUCCCAAGAGUUCAAGACCAGCCUGGGCAACAAAGUGAGUCACUCCACCUGAGAAGGAGUUAAUUCUUGAUUCUGCUUUGGAAAUAACUUCCACACUCUCCUUAUCUGUUGCAGAUGUGGGUUGGAUCUCCCAGAUGCCAGGAGUGCAGUGGAAACGGCAUGGAGACCUAACCACUCAGCAGAACUGAAAAGGCCAACUGUACACUUAAAGUUGCUGUGUCCAAACUGUGUCAAGAGGAUCAUGAAAAGAGGAUCAUCAGCCUCUGGGUCUGAUCUGCAUUAGAGCUGCCCCCAAAGGGAAACUCAAGCUCAGACUCUUUAAAACACUAUAUGGACUGUCCUUUCUUUGGGAACUAGUUCUAAAGUACAUGCUGAUAUGGAAAUUGGACUAGCAAUAAAACAUAAUCAACUUAGGGCACAUGAUCCUGACCCUUUAUGGGUAUGAAACGUAUAAACUUCCUUCUACUCCAGGGAUAAGAGUUCAACCCCAUGAACCAGAGGAUAAAGUAUGCUUUAAAACCUGGGGGCUAGAAAGAGACGGUUCAUUGGUUAAAGUAUUUGCUGUGCAAGAAUGAGAACUCGCGCUCCAAUCCCCAGUCCCCAUACAUAAAACCAAAUAUGGCACCUGUAACCACAGUGUUGUUGGGGACAGAGACAGGAGGAUCACUGGCACUUGCUGAGUAGCUCCAGAUUCAGUGAAAGAGUCUGUCUCAAGGGAACAAGUUAGUGAGUGAAAGAGACAGACACGGGAUAUCUUCUUCUGGCCUCAGCAUGCAUCUACACACGUGCACCUACACAGACAUACACUAUACACACACACACACAGACACACACACA